rnacentral:tRNA from 1 species
UGGGGAUUUAGCUCAAAAGGAUAGAGCAUUCGCCUUCUAAGCGAACGGUUAGUGGUUCAAAUCCGCUAAUCCCUAU